rnacentral:rRNA from 1 species
GAGCUUUAAUUAACCAGCUCAUAAAUUAUAACAAUACCCUACAGGAAAUAAACCCAUUUUAACUGAGUUGGUAAUUUAGGUUGGGGUGACCUCGGAAUAAAAACUAACUCCCGAGAAAAUUCAAUUGAGACAGACAAGUCAAAAUUACCAUAUUAUAUUGAUCCGUCAAAGACGAUCAACGAAACAAGUUACCCUAGGGAUAACAGCGCAAUCCUAUUUAAGAGUCCAUAUCGACAAUUAGGGUUUAC